rnacentral:rRNA from 1 species
UACAGAGGGUGCGAGCGUUAAUCGGAGUUACUGGGCGUAAAGGGCGCGUAGGCGGUUAUAUAAGUGAGAUGUGAAAUCCCUGGGCUUAACCUAGGAACUGCAUCUCAUACUGUAUGACUGGAGUAUUGUAGAGGGUAGUGGAAUUUCCGGUGUAGCGGUGAAAUGCGUAGAGAUCGGAAGGAACACCAGUGGCGAAGGCGGCUACCUGGACAAAUCUGAC